UGAAAUGAACUUUUAUGUUCCUGGGCCAGC
rnacentral:piRNA from 1 species